rnacentral:misc_RNA from 1 species
AAAAUGGUUCUUGAUUCUGAUAACUGAAUCCAAUUCAUCAAUGUGUGUGAAGAUAAACCAUUGUUCUGGUCUCUAAAGGUUGGGUUGGAAUUGUUGUUGUCACUGAAUUCAUGGCUCUGACUCUGCACUGAAACGUUGUUCUCUGACUCUGAAACAGGGCACUCUUCUUUGACAGAGUGACUGCUGUCUGCAUUUUCUUCCCUGAGCUUUGCUUUCAAUUCAUUUAACUGUAGAGUUAGAGAUUCGUUCUGUCUUUCAAGAUUAUCGUAAUUAAGUUUUAGAGCUUCAUAAUUGGCCUUAAGGGCGACAUAUUCUCUCUCCAAUUGUUUAGUCUUCCAACGGGCACGGCGGUUUUGGAACCAAAUGGCUACUUGUCGUGGUUG